GCCGUAGUUCAAUGGCAGAACACGAAAAUACGUUUCACCACCCUUGUCGUCGCAUCUUUUUCAGGCCCGCCACGGCGGGCCGGCAGCGAAUGCCACAGGCACUACAUCGUGUCGCGGGUUCGAAUCCCGCCCCGGCA
rnacentral:tRNA from 2 species